rnacentral:rRNA from 1 species
GUUGGUUUUAGGCGAGGUGGUGCGAUUUGGGCAUUAUCGAACCUGAGGUCAGCAACGAGGGAG